rnacentral:sRNA from 1 species
UAUGUGUGUGUUUGCAUGUGUGCUUACUUGUGGGGAUGUGCUGUCCUCCCCGUGCAUAGACUUCAGAGGACAGCCUUCCUAUUUGAGUUCUCACCUUUCAACCAUGUUUUGAGAUAGAGCCUCUUCGUUACUGUGUAAACCAGACUAUACGGUUCUUUAUUCUCUGCCUCCUAUCUCCUCACAGGUGCAUGCUGGGAUUAUAGAGGCUCAUGAUACCUCUGCUGUUUGGAUACCACUGCUGCGUGGUUACCGCUGCUGCGGGGUUAGCACUGCUGCGUGGUUAUCAUUAAUGCGUGGUUACGGCUGCUGCGUGGUUACCGCUGCUGGUGGUUAGCACUGCUGCGUGGUUAGCGCUGCUGCGUGGUUAGCGCUGCUGCGUGGUUAGCGCUGCUGGGUGGUUACCGCUGCUGCGUGGUUACCAUUAAUGCGUGGUUACCGCUGCUGCGUGGUUACCAUUAAUGCGUGGUUACCGCUGCUGUGUGGUUAGCACUGCUGGGUGGUUACCAUUAAUGCGUGGUUAGCGCUGCUGCGUGGUUACCAUUAAUGCGUGGUUACUGCUGCUGCGUGGUUACCACUGCUGGGUGGUUACCACUGCUGGGUGGUUACCGUUAAUGCGUGGUUUUAUGCUCGGAUCAUUUAUGUUUACUUUAUGUUCUUUUGUUUUUGUGUUUCAUCGCAGGUGGAAAGAUUUAGAAGUAGCAAACCCAAGAACUUCCUAAAGAGUUCCCAGGAUCUGACUUAAGGAACCAAAGCCAAGAUUGACUCACUGGCUAAAGAACGUUUAACCUCUGUCAGCUGCUUAGAAACGUUCAGAACAUAGAGACAACACUGGGAGAUGAUGGAGGGCGAUAACUUCAUGUGUGCAUCAAGGUGAACUUUGGUUUUUUAUAAAACCUGACUUUCGACAAGCGGCUUUAGCAGCAAAUGCUCCCUGGGCAUCUUCACAUGACCACAUUAAAGCAGGUCAGUUACUGACGUCAGUCUGGUUUCAAAGGUCGGACUAAGGACGGUGUUUUCUUAUCUGAGUGGAUAUUUUCAGAUAGCUUCAAAAUGGACACCCUUAAACUGAGGGAGAGCAAGUGUUCUAAAUGAGGAAACUGAUUUCAAGUGGAGGAGGAGAGUCUGAAGACAUCGCAGCAUCGCCUGGGAAUUAGCUCUUCCGUUGUGGUUCUCUGUUCAGGGAUCUGAUGGUUAGCAACCGGGCCAGAAGAAUGCUAAGUUUUUGUGGGAAUCUCACUGAUCUGGAGAAAGCAGUGUGUGCCUGACCUUUAAAGCUAUGUCAGGAUGGGACGUGUGUAUGGAGCCCACCGGAGAAGGAUAUGAUUUGUCAUUUCCUCAGCAGAUGAUGACUGUAGGAUAAACAAGUAGUUUUCAGGGCAUAAUGGAUAAAUUAGAAUACAGGAUUCACUUACUGAAUAGUGACCCUACCAGGGGACGUGCGGAUCAGCCAAGCUGGCCACAAGCAACUCAUUUCCUCUGGGUUACAUGGACAGAAGAUCUCAAAGGGAAGGGACAGGAGGAACAGUGAAUGAAUCUCUCCCCUACUCUGGCAACGUAUGUGCCAAGGAAAUGGUGUCUCUGCCUAGGCAGGGAAAGUUCGAAUCUCCUUUUUAGGAGGAUUUGUACUGAGUUGGGAAAAGGCAAUGAUCAAACUGUCUGUUUCUCUGUUUUCUCUGGUCCUCCUUUCCCUGCAAGAGACUUUUAAUAGCGAGCGCGUGUACGAAGCGGAGGGGCACUACUGUAUAUCUGGUGAGUUGGCUGACUCUCCACCCUCAGUAUCUUUCAGCCUUUCCUUCCAUAGUCGCCACCAACACUUCAAAGGCCUAGCGUGCACUCUUCCUUCUGUCUUCACCCUGACUUCCACGCACACCCCUGCUGCACUGGAGAUGUCUGGAGACCUGGGGUCCAGAAGAAAGCUCCUGGCUCUUACCAGAGAGCAAGAACACAAAGGACUCAUCAGGUCUAAUUUAUAGUGUUCUGCUUUUUGUAUUUUUUUUUCAGACCACAGAUUAAAGCUCUAUUAGCCGCCUUAAUUUACACUUAUAGGAUCAAACAAUCCCUUUACUAACACUUACAUGCAUAAAUAAAGAGAGGCUUGCCGCGAGAAUUCCAAGUUCUGAGUUUGAUUCUCCAAUGCUCAAUAACAAAAUGGGAUGUGAAACUCUAUAAUAUUUGCUUUCUAAAUUCUAUUGAAAUUAGUUAUGUCUAAAAACAUACUUCAGAAAGGGAGCAUCCAGUCAAAACCUUACGAUGCUAUUGUCCAGUAUUGAUUUUUGGAAUUAGGAAUUAGGACGAGACCCUAAUUAUUUUAGUGUGUGGAUAAGAGCAGACAACUCUUAUCUCAAGUCUUUAGGUCAGAGAACAGACUCUAACUGCAGCUAUAGACGCAUGUUCACGACUCCCUUUUGUCAAAGAACAGGGGUAAUCCACGCUUACGUUCUAUAUACUUGCCCAAGCCUAGGAACAAACUGGGACACUGGGAUUUUCAUUGCCUGUCAGAGUAAAUUACAGACUAUCUGGUCAGGAUAAUCUCAGAGAUCUAAAGAAGCAGAAAUAAAAUUGGAUGAUCAUGUGAGGGAGAAAAUGUAAUUUCUUUAUGUCAUGGUUCCUGUCAAAGUCACCCAAUAGGAGACAGAUUAACAAGAGAGAGGAUGACAGAUUUAGCUGAUAAAAGUUAUACACGGCAUAGGACCUUUCAUAAACAAAGACCCAAGGAAACAGACACACUUGUGUAUCGUCAGCCAGCGUGCCUGGGUACAGCUCUGUAGGAAUGGGGUUCGACAUCAGCAGGGUGUGACCUAACAGUAAUAAGUAGCAAGUCCCAUUUGCUCCUGUGUCGUUAGAGAUAAAGACAUUUCUCCGGGCACGAUAGCCUUACACCUUACUUUGAAGGAAAGGCCUGUGUUACUGUUUAAUCUACUGUAGGAGUAGAUGUCAGGAGAAGGUCAGAGGGUGACUUUCCUCAUUCUAUGACCCUUCAGAUGUCAUAAUGGGAAUGGUGGAGCAUUCUGAACCCUAUCAGCAGAAAAUUAAACACCAACUGCCCCUGGAGAAGGGGACGGUGCUGAUAUGGAGGACGUUUGAGGGAGGUCUUCAUGAGUUGGUUGAAAUGUUCUCUACCUGGACAACAUUACAGUCCUGUGGCAUUUUCUAGCUCAUAAGUCUCCAUGUGCACACUACCUAUGUAAAUGACAGCAGCGAUGAAGGAAGAGUGGGACCUCUGUUCCCUUUUGCCUGUGACAAUGGGCGGUCAGAGAAAUGUAUCAUGACAUUGCCAUGCUCCGGACCAAGUUUCACUCCCUAUAGACUUGUGAUAUUUUUGUCUAUGACCAAAAAAAAAAAA